UCACACUAGGUGGUGUGGGCAGCAAA
rnacentral:piRNA from 1 species